rnacentral:SRP_RNA from 1 species
GCCUGCCUACUCUAAGCACGGAGUUGCCAGCGGGAUCUCGCCGAAGGGUCAGGCGGGCAACUGAGCAGCGUUCACUCCCCGCUCUGUGUAGUGGAGGGAUAACGGGC